GUGGGGAAUUUUGGACAAUGGGGGCAACCCUGAUCCAGCCAUGCCGCGUGCGGGAAGAAGGCCUUCGGGUUGUAAACCGCUUUUGUCAGGGAAGAAAUCCUUUGGGUUAAUACCUCGGAGGGAUGACGGUACCUGAAGAAUAAGCACCGGCUAACUACGUGCCAGCAGCCGCGGUAAUACGUAGGGUGCGAGCGUUAAUCGGAAUUACUGGGCGUAAAGCGUGCGCAGGCGGUUUUGUAAGAUCGAUGUGAAAUCCCCGGGCUCAACCUGGGAACUGCAUUGGUGACUGCAAGGCUGGAGUGCGGCAGAGGGGGAUGGAAUUCCGCGUGUAGCAGUGAAAUGCGUAGAUAUGCGGAGGAACACCGAUGGCGAAGGCAAUCCCCUGGGCCUGCACUGACGCUCAUGCACGAAAGCGUGGGGAGCAAACAGGAUUAGAAAACCUGGUAGUCC
rnacentral:rRNA from 1 species